rnacentral:rRNA from 1 species
GUGCCAGCCGCCGCGGUAAUACAGAGGGUGCAAGCGUUGUUCGGAAUUACUGGGCGUAAAGCGCGUGUAGGCGGCUUUUUAAGUCGGACGUGAAAUCCCUGGGCUUAACCUAGGAACUGCGUCCGAUACUAUUGAGCUCGAGUGUCGGAGGGGGUGGCGGAAUUCCCGGUGUAGAGGUGAAAUUCGUAGAUAUCGGGAGGAACACCUGUGGCGAAGGCGGCCACCUGGAAGACAACUGACGCUGAGACGCGAAAGCGUGGGGAGCAAACAGGAUUAGAUACCCUGGUAGUCC